rnacentral:rRNA from 1 species
CCUACGGGAGGCACCAGUGGGGAAUUUUGGACAAUGGGGGCAACCCUGAUCCAGCCAUGCCGCGUGCGGGAAGAAGGCCUUCGGGUUGUAAACCGCUUUCGGACGGAAAGAAAUCGCAUGGACUAAUACUCUGUGUGGAUGACGGUACCGUAAGAAGAAGCACCGGCUAACUACGUGCCAGCAGCCGCGGUAAUACGUAGGGUGCGAGCGUUAAUCGGAAUUACUGGGCGUAAAGCGUGCGCAGGCGGUUUCUUAAGCCAGACGUGAAAUCCCCGGGCUUAACCUGGGAACUGCGUUUGGAACUGGGAGACUAGAGUGUGUCAGAGGGAGGUGGAAUUCCGCGUGUAGCAGUGAAAUGCGUAGAUAUGCGGAGGAACACCGAUGGCGAAGGCAGCCUCCUGGGAUAACACUGACGCUCAUGCACGAAAGCGUGGGGAGCA